GUCCCAAUGCUGACAGCGGGUCAGAACUCAACCCGUCCACGAGGGUGGAGAUUGAGAUUGGGCCAACGGAGGUGUGAUCACUUUACACAUCCGUCCUAUGACGAGAUUCACACCUCCACUCUGACCACGCCGGAGUGCGUGGGCAGCCGAUGAGCGACGACAUGAGGUUUCCCCACACGGCGGACGACUGGAAGAUGAAGAAGAAGAUGCCAAAGUACUGGUUGAUGACGUCGGAUCCUCUCUUGCCGUCCCUGGCGGCCUGCGCGUUCCCGGAGAUGGUCAGACUUCUCCCGGACGACUCCACCCUGUUGUUAAGAUACAGCUUGAUGUGUCUGCUGAUUUAUUCUGCUGAUGUCAUCACUUUUUUUCUUUUGCUGCUCUGAUACGAGCGGCAUGAUUCUCCCGCUGAGCCUCUGUCAUACUCAUUGCAUGUGUUGUAACUCUGUAAUGUUUCCUUCUGGUCACAUGACACAUCUUGUUCUGUCCAUCCUGGAGAGGGAUCCUCCUCUGUUGCUCUCCUGAAGGUUUCUUCCCUUUGUUCCCCGUGAAAGGGUUUUUAUUUUUGUUGGGAGUUGUUCCUGAUCCGAUGUGAGGUCAAAGGUCAGGGAUGUCUAUGUGUACAGAUUGUAAAGCCCACUGGGGCAAAUUUGUCAUUUGUGAUAAUGGGCUAUACAAAAUAAACUGAAUUGAAUUGAAA